AAAAAAAUGAAUUAAGAUAAAUAGAUAAAAAAAAAUCGAUUAUACUACAAUAUAAACCACUUGUUAAGCAAUGGGAGUGAAAAAGGCAAGAAUUAACAACUUUCAAAAGCUGCAAGUCAAAUUAAACAAUAAUAUAUAUUUGUAUAUAUGCAUAUAUAAAUAUAUUUUACAUUCCUCUUUUUUUUUUUUUUUUUUUUUUUUUUUUUUUUAAAGUGGGAAUGUAUUAUAAUAUUAAUAAAGACUCUUAAAAAAAAAAAAAAAAUGAACACUAAAAAAGAUUUCCAUUUAUAUAUGAUAGAAAAUAAGAAUAAAUAUAAUAAAAAAAAUAGAGUAAUACAAUAGCUACAUUUGUGAUCACCCAUAAUAAUAAUAAUAAAGAAAUGCAAAAAAUCAGAACAAUUAUUUUAUUUUUUAUCAUAUAUUUUACUUUUUAUUUUGUCCAAACAAAAGAUGGUAACAUAGAUAAUAUUGUAUUUAUAGAAGAUUCAGAUGAAUAUGGAGAGGACUUUAUAGAUUUAACUAAUAAUGCAAAAGCUAAGAAUAUCGAACGUAAGUAUAAGAAUGCAAUAUCAAGCGAACUACAUUCCUGGGUAGGCGAUAAUGAAGAAUUAUUUUACCUAAAAAUAGUUGUUUUUAUUUGUGUUUUAAUUGCCGUGAUUAUUAAUGCUGUAAUAGGUAAGCAAGCAAAUAGAAAAAUAGCUCUUUUUUGGCUUAGGUCAUGUAAAGGUAUUUUUUUAGAACAGUUUGCGAAAUUAGGACAUGCGAAAUAUUUUUUAUUAGAGAAAUCAUAUGAUAAUUAUGAUUUAUAUUGUAGUGGACGGAAAAAUUGUAAUUAUUAUUCUGUUAAUUUAGAUUUAAGUAAAAGACAAUGUUUAUGGAGGUAUUAUGUUUUUAAUUACUUUGUAAAACAAAAUGAUACAAUGAGCAUUUCUAUUAAUUUUGACAAAUUAGAUAAAGUAUUUUUUUGUGUUUAUAAAAAACAUCAAAAAAAAAAUAUUGAAUCCCGUUUUCCAAAUUUAAAUAAAUAUACAAAAUUUAUGAAUAAAAAAGAAUUAAAACAACUUUACGAAAUUAAAGCAGAUUCGUCGGAAGUAACAGAUUUAGUUUUAAGUGGCCACAUUUUAAAUUUUUUAAAUACUAAUGAAAAAUAUAUAAAUUAUUUAUGUAUUAGUGACAUUCCAUUUGAUGAAAAUGAAGAAGAAACCAAUUCUGUAAAAAAACAAGAAACAAAAGAAGAUAAAAAAGAAGGAAAAAAAGAGGAAAAACAAGAAAAUAUUAAUAAAAAAUCUUCAAAGCAUAAAUUUUGCAUUUUAAAUUUAAUUAUACCACAAGAUGAAAGUGAACUGCAAACAUUAAUCAAGUUUUCUAUUUAUAUGAUCGAUGCUUGUGUUAGUAUUGAAUUACCAGAUAAAGUUAGAGAACAUGUUAAAAAAUUAAGAAGUAUUAUUGAUAAAGAAGACGACAAAAAAAAACAAGAGUUAAAGGAAUUACAAGAAAAAAAAAGGAUUCAAAAAAUACAAGAAGAAAAAGAAAAAAUUGAUAAAAUGCCAGCAGAACAACAAAGAAAAUAUGAAGAAAAAAAACAAAAAAAAAGUUUGAAAAAAAUGAAAAAAAUAAAAAUUAUAAAAAUGUGAUUUUUUUUUUUUUUUUUUUUUUUUUUUUUUUUUUUUUUUUUUUUUGUUACAUUGGUAUAUUGUAAUUAUAACAUCAUUAUUCUUAUCAUUAUAUAACUAUUGUUUCUACUGUUACAUUUGUUAUUGUUUUUUCUAUUAGUACGUUUUAUUUAUAUACUUGGUUUGUUAUAUAUUUACAUGUUCAUAUAUUGUAUUUAUAUAUUUAUUUAUAUAUUUAU
ensembl:lncRNA